rnacentral:misc_RNA from 1 species
AAUACUCAGUGGUGCACAAUAAAAUAUAAAAUGCACAAUAUAAAACAUUUGUUAUUAAUUCACAGUUCACAGUUCAAAUAUUUCACAAUCACAUUUCAAAUUUCAAAUAACAUUUAUCACAAAUCACAAUUUGAAUAUUUUAAAAUUUUUAAAACUUAGUUUAAUACAAUUUGAUCAAACAAUUUAAUAAUCCCAGUGUUGUCAAUCACUAACACAACUUAGGCCAUGACAUAAAAUUUCUGAACAUGCCGUGUGUAUAUCACGAUAAGGCAAACUCACCCCACUAAUCG